CAGCCUGCAACCCGGCUGCACGAAGCCGGAAUCGCUAGUAAUCGCAGAUCAGCAUGCUGCGGUGAAUACGUUCCCGGGUCUUGUACACACCGCCCGUCACACCAUGGGAGCCGGGAAUGCCCGAAGUCAGCGGCCCAACCGAAAGGGGGGAGCUGCCGAAGGCAGGCCUGGUGACUGGGGUGAAGUCGUAACAAGGUAAC
rnacentral:rRNA from 1 species